UGUCAGCUAGAGGCCUGAAAGAUGAAAGCCUCCUCGCUCACUCUUCUCCCAGCACUCUGCUAUUUAAAGUCAGGGUCAGAUGGUUCAUCGACCAUGCACUGGUGAUGCCAAUCUUACCUUGAAUGGAGACGUGGGUUUUACAGGAGCUCAUAGCAACCACUACACAUUGAAGUCACAAUCUUACUUUUAACACUCUGAACUCCUCUGAAUUUGUCAGCAAGAAGGAAAUCUUCCCCAGCCCUUAACCCAGGCUAAAGAAUCAAGGUAACUCCACAAAAGAUGGAGGUACCGUGUCCCCCACCCUCACUCUACAGUGGGCGGAGCUCAGCUGCAUGGCCAGGUGAAGAUGUAUAAUGUGGAAGACAGAUGGACUCUAGAAGGAAAAGCAAUCCCUCUUGUUCCUGCAACCUGACUUGCCCCUUAGAACUGCUGGGAAGGAGACAUGAAAGGAGACACGUGGAGGAGGGACUUGUAGACCACGUGGAAUAGACAGGUGGGUGAAAGACACUUGGGGAGGCUG